UACAGAGGGGGCAAGCGUUGUUCGGAAUUACUGGGCGUAAAGGGCGCGUAGGCGGCCUGUUAAGUCGAACGUGAAAUCCCCGGGCUCAACCCGGGAACUGCGUCCGAUACUGGCAGGCUUGAAUCCGGGAGAGGGAUGCGGAAUUCCAGGUGUAGCGGUGAAAUGCGUAGAUAUCAGGAGGAACACCGGCGGUGUAGACGGCUUUCUGGACCGUAGCUGACGCUGAGACACGAAAGCGUGGGGAGCAAACAGG
rnacentral:rRNA from 1 species